rnacentral:rRNA from 1 species
UACGUAGGGUGCGAGCGUUGUCCGGAAUUAUUGGGCGUAAAGAGCUCGUAGGCGGUUUGUCGCGUCUGCUGUGAAACGCGAGGCUCAACCUCGCGCCUGCAGUGGGUACGGGCAGACGUGGAGUGCGGUAGGGGAGAUUGGAAUUCCUGGUGUAGCGGUGGAAUGCGCAGAUAUCAGGAGGAACACCGAGUGGCGAAGGCAGA